GACGGCCUUCGGGUUGUAAACCUCUUUCAGCAGGGAAGAAGCGAGAGUGACGGUACCUGCAGAAGAAGCGCCGGCUAACUACGUGCCAGCAGCCGCGGUAAUACGUAGGGCGCGAGCGUUGUCCGGAAUUAUUGGGCGUAAAGAGCUCGUAGGCGGUCUGUCGCGUCGGAUGUGAAAGCCCGGGGCUUAACCCCGGGUCUGCAUUCGAUACGGGCAGACUAGAGUGUGGUAGGGGAGAUCGGAAUUCCUGGUGUAGCGGUGAAAUGCGCAGAUAUCAGGAGGAACACCGGUGGCGAAGGCGGAUCUCUGGGCCAUUACUGACGCUGAGGAGCGAAAGCGUGGGGAGCGAACAGGAUUAGAUACCCUGGUAGUCCACGCCGUAAACGGUGGGAACUAGGUGUUGGCGACAUUCCACGUCGUCGGUGCCGCAGCUAACGCAUUAAGUUCCCCGCCUGGGGAGUACGGCCGCAAGGCUAAAACUCAA
rnacentral:rRNA from 1 species